rnacentral:rRNA from 1 species
UGGGGAAUCUUGCGCAAUGGGCGGAAGCCUGACGCAGCAACGCCGCGUGCGGGAAGAAGGCCUUAGGGUCGUAAACCGCUUUCAGGGGGGACGAAGCUUCCGGGGUUAAUAGCCUACGGGGUGACGGUACUCCCAAAAGAAGGUCCGGCUAACUACGUGCCAGCAGCCGCGGUAAUACGUAGGGACCGAGCGUUGUCCGGAAUUAUUGGGCGUAAAGAGCUCGUAGGUGGUUUGCCACGUCGGAUGUGAAAACCUGAGGCUUAACCUCAGGCCUGCAUUCGAUACGGGCAGACUAGAGUGUGGUAGGGGAGACUGGAAUUCCUGGUGUAGAGGUGAAAUUCGCAGAUAUCUGGAAGAACACCGGCGGCGAAGGCGGCCAACUGGACAAAGACUGACGCUGAGACACGAAAGCGUGGGGAGCAAACAGG